AGAGAGCUAUUGCUUAAGGAGCUUAGAAAUCCAAGGCAGGCAGACCUACGUGUACAGAGAAAACAAACAAAAGAGAUUCAGAAAUUGAAUAUUACAUUCUCUCCGAGGUCAUCCUGACUUAUAUAGUUGCGCCCAGCUUUGAGCCAGCUCUCCCUGACUUCCUGCCCGUGUGCUACUCAUUGCUCUAGAUUCUGAGGAUCUAGUUGCCUCAGGUGAGGGUGCUAGGAUCGAUGUGUCUUCUCUUCCUGGGUGAGGAAGCAGCUGUUUGGUCUUUCUGCUGCUAGUGUCUCCCUUUCAGUCCUAGCUUUUGUGUGGCCAUAAAAAUAGAUUUACUUAAAGUGCACUGUCUGGUCAUCUGACUUGCAACCUUCAAUCAGCACUAAAAUUAAAACAUGGAACAAAAUUUGUGCUGAUAUACCUAAGGGGUUUGGGAGACUACAGAGCUCUGUGUUAGCAUGUCAGAAGAAGAUACUACUUAGAUAAAUAAAGUUAUAAUCUAAAGAGAAUGUGGAGGCUUACAACUAGUCAAAUAGAAUUCUCUGCAUAUCAAAUCCUUUUAAUACCCAACAAGAUGAUUUGUUUGUGAUUUUUGGCAUGUAGCUCAGGCUGGCUUGGAAUCCCUUGUGUAGCUAAAGAUGAUCUGGAGCGAAUCAUCUGCUUCUAUUUCCCAAGUGCUGAGGGUACAGUGUUUACCACCACACCUAGCCAGAAAGAAAGCUUUAAAGUAGGCAGUUUGUCUGCUUCCAAUGACAUUGGGGUGGAGAUGGGGACAUAAUCACAGAUGAAACCUCACAUGAGGUCUUAUUCAGACCUCUAGAAGCCAUGACUGCGUCCUUUGGCAUCCUUCAUACGGGGAAGGCUAGAAUUGUUUUGCAGAUAGUUUAGUCUGAAUGUGUGCUGUAGACUGUCUUAUCAGAACUGAGUGAGUGUCAUCAGUCCCAGUAUGACACAUGAUGAUGCCAGCAUAGGAUGUGAACCUUGGACGGAGCCUCAUUGCCCAUGUCUCCCAAGCGGAGGGACUAGACCAAGGUACUCGUCCUGAUGACACAGCACGGCAGCAGUAGUUACAGCUGGAAGAUAUGGCUACAAAUUUCUGUGGCAUAUUCCCUUAACCACUCUGCCAUAGUCCUGCUGCAUUAAAAUGCAGGCUACAAAUGUUUAUAGAAAUAAUAAUUCAGGAUGGUUUUGUUUAUGACACGUUAAUGCAAAGUUCUUCUCCACCCAAGUUCCCACAGGCCUUACCUUUGUCAGUUGCCUAAGAGGCCCUCUUAGAUUAUUUUUAGAUGAGGUCUCCUCCUGCUGGAAUUACAGACUUGGACCACUUGCCUCUGCCUGAUCACAUUAUGUAGCCAUUCUGAAUGAAAGAUGUUUAGUGUUUAGCUGAACAAUGUUUGUCUUUGAUACAGUGUAAUCCCACAUAGGCCUCUGGCCUCAUUUCCUGGCUCAUUUAAACUUAGUUUAUUUAUAAACACAAUUUUCUAAAACCAGGUUUUGCUAUAUAGCCCUGGCUGGGCUCACACUGAUGACUUUGCCUCAGCCUCUUAGGUUCUGAGAUUACAGGUCUGCACUACCAUGCCUGGCUUACACAAAGACACUUAACACUGAGUCAACACACUAGUAAAGAAUCAAAUACAACAGCAUGCUUGUCGGCAGCUCCUGGCUUACACGGUCAGCCUUCCCUUCCAUACAUAAGUACGGCUGUUCCAAGGUGAGACUACUCUCUGAAAUAUUGUUUCUGUCCCCUUAAUUGGUUAGUCCUUCCAUCUUUUAUCCCAAUAGGGACCCGUGGAGUGUUUGCUGAUUCUUCCAUUUCUAGCUCCAGUCUGUCUUACUGCUCAUGUCUAUGUUCUCAUAAUGUCCUCCAUAAACUUUUUUU
rnacentral:lncRNA from 1 species